UGCUCUUCAGGAUAGCUCAGUUGGUAAAGCAAGAGACCCUUAAUCUCAGAGUCGUGGGUUCGAGCCCCACACUGGGUAA